UACCAGACUCCUACGGGAGGCAGCAGUGAGGAAUAUUGGUCAAUGGGCGCGAGCCUGAACCAGCCAAGUCGCGUGAGGGAUGACGGUCCUACGGAUUGUAAACCUCUUUUGCCGGGGAGCAAGCGUGCGUUCGUGAACGCGCGUCGAGAGUACCCGGAGAAAAAGCAUCGGCUAACUCCGUGCCAGCAGCCGCGGUAAUACGGAGGAUGCGAGCGUUAAUCGGAAUUACUGGGCGUAAAGGGUGUGCAGGCGGCUGAGUAAGACAGAUGUGAAAUCCCCGGGCUUAACCUGGGAACCGCAUAUGUGACUGCUUGGCUAGAGUGCGUCAGAGGGUGGUGGAAUUCCACGUGUAGCAGUGAAAUGCGUAGAUAUGUGGAAGAACACCGAUGGCGAAGGCAGCCUCCUGGACGCAACUGACGCUCAUACACGAAAGCGUGGGGAGCAAACAGGAUUAGAUACCCGGGUA
rnacentral:rRNA from 1 species